CCUGGGUGGCUCAGUGGGUUAAGCGUUUGACUCCUGGUUGGGCUUAGGUCAUGAUCUCAGGUCGUGAGACCGAGCCCCGCGUCAGGGUCCGUGCUCAGCAGGGAGCCUGCUUCAGAU